CCCAGACUCCUACGGGAGGCAGCAGUGAGGAAUAUUGGUCAAUGGGCGGGAGCCUGAACCAGCCAAGUCGCGUGAGGGAAGACGGUCCUACGGAUUGUAAACCUCUUUUGCCGGGGAGCAACGGGGUCCUUGCGAGGGCCCAAUGAGAGUACCCGGAGAAAAAGCAUCGGCUAACUCCGUGCCAGCAGCCGCGGUAAUACGGAGGAUGCGAGCGUUAUCCGGAUUUAUUGGGUUUAAAGGGUGCGUAGGCGAGCUGAUAAGUCGGGGGUAAAAUGUGGGGGCUCAACCCCGGCCUGCCGUUGAAACUGGCGGCCUCGAGUGGGCGAGAAGUAUGCGGAAUGCGUGGUGUAGCGUGGAAAUGCAUAGAUAUCACGCAGAACUCCGAUUGCGAAGGCAGCAUACCGGCGCGCAACUGACGCUCAUGCACGAAAGCGUGGGUAUCGAACAGGAUUAGAUACCCGAGUAAU
rnacentral:rRNA from 1 species